AGUAAAUUUUAUGGUCAAGCUACUAAGGGCAAACGGUGGAUGCCUUGGGACUUCGAGGCGAUGAAGGACGUGGAAAGCUGCGAUAAGCGACGGUGAGAAGCACUCAUUCGAUGAACCGUCGAUUUCCGAAUGGGGGAACCCAAUAACUGCCGCCUGAAUACAUAGGGCGGUUAGAGCAAACUCAGGGAAGUGAACCAUCUCAGUACCUGAAGGAAAAGAAAACAAUAGUGAUUCUGCUAGUAGCGGCGAGCGAACGCGGAAAAGCCUAAACCGAUAGGACUUGUCCUGUCGGGGUCGUGGGAUCAGACAUAACGGGAGAAGAAGAUUAACAAAAGUGUAUGGAAAAGCACACCAUAGAGCGUGAUAGUCGCGUAUGUGAAAAUUUUCAACUUCUAGUUUGACACCCGAGUAAUGCGGAACACGAGGAAUUCUGCAUGAAUUUGCCGGGACCAUCCGGUAAGGCUAAAUACUCCGAAGUCACCGAUAGUGAACCAGUACCGUGAGGGAAAGGUGAAAAGAACCCCAGUGAGGGGAGUGAAAUAGUACCUGAAACCGUUUGCUUACAAGCAGUAGGAGGAGCGCAAGCUCUGACUAUGUGCCUUUUGCAUAAUGAGCCGGCUAGUAAAUGUCACAGGCAAGGUUAAACGAUAAGUAAGCCGAAGCGAAAGCGAGUCUUAAUAGGGCGCUUAGUCUGUGGUAUUUGGACGUGAAACGGGAUGAUCUAGGCAUGGGCAGGUUGAAGCGUGGGUAACACCACGUGGAGGACCGAACCAGUAUAGGUUGAAAACUGUUUGGAUGACCUGUGCCUAGGGGUGAAAGGCUAAUCAAAUUCCGUGAUAGCUCGUUCUCGCCGAAAUAGCUUUAGGGCUAGCCUCGGAUUUAUCUUUGCGGUGGUAAAGCACUGAAUGGACUAGGGGCCUCACAAGGUUACCGAAUUCAAUCAAACUCUGAAUGCCGUAAAUGAAUGUCCGGGAGUCAGACUACGGGUGCUAAGAUUCGUGGUCGAGAGGGAAAGAGCCCAGACCAACAGCUAAGGUCCCAAAAUUAUAGUUAAGUGGAAAAGGACGUGGGGAAGCACUGACAGCCAGGAGGUUUGCUUAGAAGCAGCAAUCCUUUAAAGAAAGCGUAAUAGCUCACUGGUCAAGUAGCCCUGCACCGACAAUAUAACGGGGCUCAAACUAUAUACCGAAGCUUUGGAUAUUUUUAAUAUGGUAGGCGAGCAUUCUGUAGCUGUGAAGCGGUUCCGUAAGGUCCGUUGGAGCAAUCAGAAAAGACUUUGUCGGCAUUAGUAGCGAUAACGUAUGUGAGAACCAUACGCACCGAAAACCUAAGGUUUCCUGCGUCAAGUUAAUCUGCGCAGGGUUAGUCUGUACCUAAGGCGAGGCCGAGAGGCGUAGUCGAUGGAAAUCCGGUUAAUAUUCCGGAACUGAGUAACAGUGCUGUGGAGUGACGCAAUAGGGUAGGCAAGACGGCUGAUGGAUGCCGUUGAAGUAAACAGCCCGUCGCUUUGGUAAAUCCGGGUGACACAAGGGUAAAUAAACAGACGAAAGUACAGAACUUCGGUUCUGGAACAAGUUGCUGACCCCAAUUGCCAAGAAAAGCUUCGUUCAGCUCAACUGUUAAUUAACAGUACCGCAAACCGACACAGGUAGGUGGGAUGAGAAUUCUAAGGUGCUUGUGAGAACCCUCGUUCAGGAACUCGGCAAAAUAUAUCCGUAACUUCGGGAGAAGGAUAGCCGUGUUCACCAAGAACAUGGUCGCAGAGAAAUGUUCCAGGCGACUGUUUAACAAAAACAUAGGUCUCCGCAAAGUUGUAAAGACAACGUAUGGGGGCUGACGCCUGCCCAAUGCUGGAAGGUUAAGAGGACUUGUUAGCCGCAAGGCGAAGCUCGGAAUCGAAGCCCCAGUGAAUGGCGGCCGUAACUAUAACGGUCCUAAGGUAGCGAAAUUCCUUGUCGGGUAAGUUCCGACCUGCACGAAUGGCGUAACGAUCUGGAAGCUGUCUUAACGAGGGACACAGCGAACUUGUAGUACCGGUGAAGAUGCCGGUUUCCCGCAUCAAGACGGAAAGACCCCGUGCACCUUGACUACAACUUGAUAGUGAUUUCGGGCAAAUAAUGCGCAGGAUAGAUGGGAGGCUUUGAUGUCAGGCUUUUGGGCUUGGCGGAGCCAAUGGUGAGAUACCACCCUUUGUUUGUUUGGAAUCUAACCUAGAACCGUUAUCCGGUUCAGGAACAUUAUCAGGCGGGUAGUUUGACUGGGGCGGUCGCCUCCUAAAGAGUAACGGAGGCGCUCGAAGGUUGGCUCAGGCUGUUUGGAAAUCAGCCGUAGAGUGUAAACGCAUAAGCCAGCUUAACUGCGAGACAUACACGUCGAGCAGGUACGAAAGUAGGAGUUAGUGAUCCGGCGGUCGCUUAUGGAAGUGCCGUCGCUCAACGGAUAAAAGGUACGCCGGGGAUAACAGGCUGAUCCUGCCCAAGAGUUCACAUCGACGGCAGGGUUUGGCACCUCGAUGUCGGCUCAUCACAUCCUGGGGCUGAAGAAGGUCCCAAGGGUUCGGCUGUUCGCCGAUUAAAGUGGUACGUGAGCUGGGUUCAGAACGUCGCGAGACAGUUCGGUCCCUAUCUGGUGUGGGCGCAGCAGAAUUGAAGGAAUCUGACCUUAGUACGAGAGGACCGGGUUGGAUUGACCUCUAGUGUACGUGUUAUCGCGCCAGCGGUAUCGCACGGUAGCUAUGUCGAGCAUGGAUAAACGCUGAAUGCAUCUAAGCGUGAAGCCAGACCUAAGAUUAAUUCUGCCAGUGAGACUCGUGGAAGACUACCACGUUGAUAGACUGGAGAUGUAAGUGUAGUAAUAUAUUUAGUUGACCAGCACUAAUAGUCCCAAGGCUUGACCAUAAAA
rnacentral:rRNA from 1 species